GGGAGGAGCGGGCCGCCUACACAUGCAAGUCGAACGAUGACGAAAACAGCUUGCUGUUUCUGACGAGUGGCGGACGGGUGAGUAAUGCAUAGGAAUCUACCUAAUAGUGGGGGACAACCUGGUGAAAACCAGGCUAAUACCGCAUAAUCCCUACGGGGCAAAGCAGGGGACCUUCGGGCCUUGCGCUAAUAGAUGAGCCUAUGUCGGAUUAGCUAGUGAUGGUGGGGUAAAGGCCUACCAUGGCGACGAUCUUUAGCUGGUUUGAGAGGAUGAUCAGCCACACUGGGACUGAGACACGGCCCAGACUCCUACGGGAGGCAGCAGUGGGGAAUAUUGCACAAUGGGCGCAAGCCUGAUGCAGCCAUACCGCGUGUGUGAAGAAGGCCUUCGGGUUGUAAAGCACUUUCAGCUGUGAGGAAAGGUUGCAUAUUAAUACUGUGUAGCUGUGACGUUAACCGUCAGAAGAAGCACCGGCUAACUCCGUGCCAGCAGCCGCAGUAAUACGGAGGGUGCAAGCGUUAAUCGGAAUUACUGGGCGUAAAGCGCGCGUAGGCGGAUAUAUAAGUCAGAUGUGAAAUCCCUGGGCUCAACCUAGGAACUGCAUUUGAAACUGUAUGUCUAGAGUAUGGUAGAGGUGAGUGGAAUUUCAGGUGUAGCGGUGAAAUGCGUAGAGAUCUGAAGGAACAUCAGUGGCGAAGGCGACUCACUGGGCCAUUACUGACGCUGAGGUGCGAAAGCGUGGGUAGCAAACAGGAUUAGAUACCCUGGUAGUCCACGCCCUAAACGAUGUCAACUAGGAGUAUGGGAGUUUAACUCGCUUAGUGGUGCAGCUAAUGCAAUAAGUUGACCGCCUGGGGAGUACGGCCGCAAGGCUAAAACUCAAAUGAAUUGACGGGGGCCCGCACAAGCGGUGGAGCAUGUGGUUUAAUUCGAUCCAACGCGAAGAACCUUACCUACCCUUGACAUACAGAGAACUUUCUAGAGAUGAGAUUGGUGCCUUCGGGAACUCUGAUACAGGUGCUGCAUGGCUGUCGUCAGCUCGUGUCGUGAGAUGUUGGGUUAAGUCCCGUAACGAGCGCAACCCUUAUCCUUAGUUGCUACCAUUUAGUUGGGCACUUUAAGGAGACUGCCGGUGAUAAACCGGAGGAAGGUGGGGACCGACGUCAAGUCAUCAUGGCCCUUACGAGUAGGGCUACACACGUGCUACAAUGGCGAGUACACAGGGAAGCGAACCAGCAAACUUGCGAGAGUAAGCGGAUCCCUUAAAGCUCAUCGUAGUCCGGAUCGGAGUCUGCAACUCGACUCCGUGAAGUCGGAAUCGCUAGUAAUCGCAAAUCAGAAUGUUGCGGUGAAUACGUUCCCGGGCCUUGUACACACCGCCCGUCACACCAUGGGAGUGGGUUGCAAAAGAAGUAGCUAGUCUAACCUUCGGGAGGACGGUUACCACUUUGUGAUUCAUGAC
rnacentral:rRNA from 1 species